rnacentral:misc_RNA from 1 species
GAUGAAGAACGCAGCGAAAUGCGAUAAGUAAUGUGAAUUGCAGAAUCCAGUGAAUCAUCGAAUCUUUGAACGCACAUUGCGCCCGCCAGCAUUCUGGCGGGCAUGCCUGUUCGAGCGUCAUUUCAACCCUCGACCUCCCUUUGGGGAAGUCGGCGUUGGGGACCGGCAGCACACCGCCGGCCCUGAAAUGGAGUGGCGGCCCGUCCGCGGCGACCUCUGCGUAGUAAUCCAACUCGCACCGGAACCCCGACGCGGCCACGCCGUAAAACACCCAACUUCUGAACGUUGACCUCGAAUCAGGUAGGACUACCCGCUGAACUUAAGCAUAUCAAUAAGCGGAGG